rnacentral:rRNA from 1 species
GACGAACGCUGGCGGCGUGCUUAACACAUGCAAGUCGAACGGAAAGGCCCUGCUUUUGUGGGGUGCUCGAGUGGCGAACGGGUGAGUAACACGUGAGUAACCUGCCCUUGACUUUGGGAUAACUUCAGGAAACUGGGGCCAAUACCGGAUAGGAGCUCCUGCUGCAUGGUGGGGGUUGGAAAGUUUCGGCGGUUGGGGAUGGACUCGCGGCUUAUCAGCUUGUUGGUGGGGUAGUGGCUUACCAAGGCUUUGACGGGUAGCCGGCCUGAGAGGGUGACCGGCCACAUUGGGACUGAGAUACGGCCCAGACUCCUACGGGAGGCAGCAGUGGGGAAUAUUGCACAAUGGGCGGAAGCCUGAUGCAGCAACGCCGCGUGCGGGAUGACGGCCUUCGGGUUGUAAACCGCUUUCGCCUGUGACGAAGCGUGAGUGACGGUAAUGGGUAAAGAAGCACCGGCUAACUACGUGCCAGCAGCCGCGGUGAUACGUAGGGUGCGAGCGUUGUCCGGAUUUAUUGGGCGUAAAGGGCUCGUAGGUGGUUGAUCGCGUCGGAAGUGUAAUCUUGGGGCUUAACCCUGAGCGUGCUUUCGAUACGGGUUGACUUGAGGAAGGUAGGGGAGAAUGGAAUUCCUGGUGGAGCGGUGGAAUGCGCAGAUAUCAGGAGGAACACCAGUGGCGAAGGCGGUUCUCUGGGCCUUUCCUGACGCUGAGGAGCGAAAGCGUGGGGAGCGAACAGGCUUAGAUACCCUGGUAGUCCACGCUGUAAACGGUGGGUACUAGGUGUGGGGUCCAUUCCACGGGUUCCGUGCCGUAGCUAACGCUUUAAGUACCCCGCCUGGGGAGUACGGCCGCAAGGCUAAAACUCAAAGGAAUUGACGGGGCCCCGCACAAGCGGCGGAGCAUGCGGAUUAAUUCGAUGCAACGCGUAGAACCUUACCUGGGUUUGACAUGGAUCGGGAGCGCUCAGAGAUGGGUGUGCCUCUUUUGGGGUCGGUUCACAGGUGGUGCAUGGCUGUCGUCAGCUCGUGUCGUGAGAUGUUGGGUUAAGUCCCGCAACGAGCGCAACCCUUGUUCACUGUUGCCAGCACGUUAUGGUGGGGACUCAGUGGAGACCGCCGGGGUCAACUCGGAGGAAGGUGGGGAUGACGUCAAGUCAUCAUGCCCCUUAUGUCCAGGGCUUCACGCAUGCUACAAUGGCUGGUACAGAGAGUGGCGAGCCUGUGAGGGUGAGCGAAUCUCGGAAAGCCGGUCUCAGUUCGGAUUGGGGUCUGCAACUCGACCUCAUGAAGUCGGAGUCGCUAGUAAUCGCAGAUCAGCAACGCUGCGGUGAAUACGUUCCCGGG